rnacentral:rRNA from 1 species
UUGGAGAGUUUGAUCCUGGCUCAGGACGAACGCUGGCGGCGUGCUUAACACAUGCAAGUCGAACGGAAAGGCCCUGCUUUUGUGGGGUGCUCGAGUGGCGAACGGGUGAGUAACACGUGAGUAACCUGCCCUUGACUUUGGGAUAACUUCAGGAAACUGGGGCUAAUACCGGAUAGGAGCUCCUGCUGCAUGGUGGGGGUUGGAAAGUUUCGGCGGUUGGGGAUGGACUCGCGGCUUAUCAGCUUGUUGGUGGGGUAGUGGCUUACCAAGGCUUUGACGGGUAGCCGGCCUGAGAGGGUGACCGGCCACAUUGGGACUGAGAUACGGCCCAGACUCCUACGGGAGGCAGCAGUGGGGAAUAUUGCACAAUGGGCGGAAGCCUGAUGCAGCAACGCCGCGUGCGGGAUGACGGCCUUCGGGUUGUAAACCGCUUUCGCCUGUGACGAAGCGUGAGUGACGGUAAUGGGUAAAGAAGCACCGGCUAACUACGUGCCAGCAGCCGCGGUGAUACGUAGGGUGCGAGCGUUGUCCGGAUUUAUUGGGCGUAAAGGGCUCGUAGGUGGUUGAUCGCGUCGGAAGUGUAAUCUUGGGGCUUAACCCUGAGCGUGCUUUCGAUACGGGUUGACUUGAGGAAGGUAGGGGAGAAUGGAAUUCCUGGUGGAGCGGUGGAAUGCGCAGAUAUCAGGAGGAACACCAGUGGCGAAGGCGGUUCUCUGGGCCUUUCCUGACGCUGAGGAGCGAAAGCGUGGGGAGCGAACAGGCUUAGAUACCCUGGUAGUCCACGCUGUAAACGGUGGGUACUAGGUGUGGGGUCCAUUCCACGGGUUCCGUGCCGUAGCUAACGCUUUAAGUACCCCGCCUGGGGAGUACGGCCGCAAGGCUAAAACUCAAAGGAAUUGACGGGGCCCCGCACAAGCGGCGGAGCAUGCGGAUUAAUUCGAUGCAACGCGUAGAACCUUACCUGGGUUUGACAUGGAUCGGGAGUGCUCAGAGAUGGGUGUGCCUCUUUUGGGGUCGGUUCACAGGUGGUGCAUGGCUGUCGUCAGCUCGUGUCGUGAGAUGUUGGGUUAAGUCCCGCAACGAGCGCAACCCUUGUUCACUGUUGCCAGCACGUUAUGGUGGGGACUCAGUGGAGACCGCCGGGGUCAACUCGGAGGAAGGUGGGGAUGACGUCAAGUCAUCAUGCCCCUUAUGUCCAGGGCUUCACGCAUGCUACAAUGGCUGGUACAGAGAGUGGCGAGCCUGUGAGGGUGAGCGAAUCUCGGAAAGCCGGUCUCAGUUCGGAUUGGGGUCUGCAACUCGACCUCAUGAAGUCGGAGUCGCUAGUAAUCGCAGAUCAGCAACGCUGCGGUGAAUACGUUCCCGGGGCUUGUACACACCGCCCGUCAAGUCAUGAAAGUUGGUAACACCCGAAGCCGGUGGCCUAACCGUUGUGGGGGAGCCGUCGAAGGUGGGACUGGUGAUUAGGACUAAGUCGUAACAAGGUAGCCGUACCGGAAGGUGCGGCUGGAUCACCCU